UACGAAGGGGGCUAGCGUUGUUCGGAAUUACUGGGCGUAAAGCGUGCGUAGACGGUAGCGUAAGUCGGGUGUGAAAGCCCCGGGCUCAACCUGGGAAUGGCAUUCGAGACUGCUCUGCUAGGGUGCGGAAGAGGGGAGCGGAAUUUCCGGUGUAGCGGUGAAAUGCGUAGAUAUCGGAAGGAACACCAGUGGCGAAAGCGGCUCCCUGGUCCAGCACCGACGUUCAGGCACGAAAGCGUGGGGAGCAAACAGG
rnacentral:rRNA from 1 species